UACGUAGGGGGCAAGCGUUGUCCGGAUUUAUUGGGCGUAAAGAGCGUGUAGGCGGCCUGGAAGGUCAGCUGUGAAAACUCGAGGCUCAACCUCGAGACGUCGGUUGAAACCACCUGGCUAGAGUCCGGAAGAGGGGUGUGGAAUUCCCGGUGUAGCGGUGAAAUGCGCAGAUAUCGGGAAGAACACCCGUGGCGAAGGCGGCACUCUGGGACGGUACUGACGCUGAGACGCGAAAGCGUGGGGAGCGAACAGG
rnacentral:rRNA from 1 species